rnacentral:rRNA from 1 species
UCGGGAGUCUUGCACAAUGGGGGCAACCCUGAUGCAGCGACGCCGCGUGUGGGAUGACGUCUUUCGGGAUGUAAACCACUUUUGUGAGGGACGAACACAAUGACGGUACCUCACGAAUAAGCCCCGGCUAACUACGUGCCAGCAGCCGCGGUAAAACGUAGGGGGCGAGCGUUGCCCGGAUUUACUGGGCGUAAAGCGCGCGUAGGCGGCUACUUAAGUGGGGAGUUAAAGGCUCCGGCUCAACCGGAGAGGUGCUUCUCAAACUGGGUAGCUUGAGUGUGGGAGAGGGAAGCGGAAUUCCUGGUGUAGCGGUGAAAUGCGUUGAUAUCAGGAGGAACACCGGUGGCGAAGGCGGCUUCCUGGCCUACUACUGACGCUGAGGCGCGAAAGCGUGGGGAGCAAACGGG